rnacentral:rRNA from 1 species
UGAGGAAUAUUGGGCAAUGCCCGCAAGGGUGACCCAGCAACGCCGCGUGGAGGAUGAAUGUCGUAAGAUUGUAAACUCCUGUUAGAGGGGAAGAAUAGUACCGGUUGGACCGGUAUAUGACUGUACCCUCAGAGAAAGCCCCGGCUAACUACGUGCCAGCAGCCGCGGUAAUACGUAGGGGGCAAGCGUUGUCCGGAUUUACUGGGUGUAAAGGGCGCGCAGGCGGGAUAAAAAGUCAGUGGUGAAAUCCUACAGCUUAACUGUAGAACUGCCUUUGAUACUUUUAUUCUUGAGUUCGGGAGAGAGAGACGGAAUUCCAGGUGUAGUGGUGAAAUACUUAGAUAUCUGGAAGAACACCAGUUGCGAAGGCGGUCUCUUGGUCCGACACUGACGCUGAGGCGCGAAAGCGUGGGGAGCAAACA